rnacentral:rRNA from 1 species
ACGGGUGAGGAAUGCAUCGGAAUCUACUCUGUCGUGGGGGAUAACGUAGGGAAACUUACGCUAAUACCGCAUACGACCUACGGGUGAAAGCAGGGGACCUUCGGGCCUUGCGCGAUUGAAUGAGCCGAUGCCCGAUUAGCUAGUUGGCGGGGUAAGAGCCCACCAAGGCGACGAUCGGUAGCUGGUCUGAGAGGAUGAUCAGCCACACUGGAACNUGAGACACGGUCCAGACUCCUACGGGAGGCAGCAGUGGGGAAUAUUGGACAAUGGGCGCAAGCCUGAUCCAGCCAUACCGCGUGGGUGAAGAAGGCCUUCGGGUUGUAAAGCCCUUUUGUUGGGAAAGAAAAGCAGCCGGUUAAUACC